UGGGGAAUUUUGGACAAUGGGCGCAAGCCUGAUCCAGCAAUGCCGCGUGCAGGAUGAAGGCCUUCGGGUUGUAAACUGCUUUUGUACGGAACGAAAAGCCUCUCUCUAAUACAGGGGGGUGAUGACGGUACCGUAAGAAUAAGCAUCGGCUAACUACGUGCCAGCAGCCGCGGUAAUACGUAGGGUGCAAGCGUUAAUCGGAAUUACUGGGCGUAAAGCGUGCGCAGGCGGUUUUGUAAGACAGUGGUGAAAUCCCCGGGCUCAACCUGGGAACUGCCAUUGUGACUGCAAGGCUGGAGUGCGGCAGAGGGGGAUGGAAUUCCGCGUGUAGCAGUAAAAUGCGUAGAUAUGCGGAGGAACACCGAUGGCGAAGGCAAUCCCCUGGGCCUGCACUGACGCUCAUGCACGAAAGCGUGGGGAGCAAACAGGAUUAGAUACCCUGGUAGUCCACGCCCUAAACGAUGUCAACUGGUUGUUGGGGGAUUUAUUUCUUCAGUAACGAAGCUAACGCGUGAAGUUGACCGCCUGGGGGAGUACGGCC
rnacentral:rRNA from 1 species